rnacentral:rRNA from 1 species
CGUAGGGUGCGAGCGUUAAUCGGAAUUACUGGGCGUAAAGCGUGCGCAGGCGGUUUUGUAGGACAGAUGUGAAAUCCCCGGGCUCAACCUGGGACCUGCAUUUGUGACUGCAAGGCUAGAGUACGGUAGAGGGGGAUGGAAUUCCGCGUGUAGCAGUGAAAUGCGUAGAUAUGCGGAGGAACACCGAUGGCGAAGGCAAUCCCCUGGACCUGUACUGACGCUCAUGCACGAAAGCGUGGGGAGCAAACAGGAUUAGAUACCCUGGUAGUCCACGCCCUAAACGAUGUCAACUGGUUGUUGGGUCUUUACUGACUCAGUAACGAAGCUAACGCGUGAAGUUGACCGCCUGGGGAGUACGGCCGCAAGGUUG